rnacentral:rRNA from 1 species
GAUGAACGCUGGCGGCGUGCCUAAUACAUGCAAGUCGAGCGAACGGACGAGAAGCUUGCUUUUCUGAUGUUAGCGGCGGACGGGUGAGUAACACGUGGAUAACCUACCUAUAAGACUGGGAUAACUUCGGGAAACCGGAGCUAAUACCGGAUAAUAUUUUGAACCGCAUGGUUCAAAAGUGAAAGACGGUCUUGCUGUCACUUAUAGAUGGAUCCGCGCUGCAUUAGCUAGUUGGUAAGGUAACGGCUUACCAAGGCAACGAUGCAUAGCCGACCUGAGCGGGUGAUCGGCCACACGGGAACUGAGAAACGGUCCAGACUCCGACGGGGGGCAGCAGUAGGGAAUCUUCCGCAAUGGGGGAAAGCCUGACGGAGCAACGCCGCGUGAGUGAUGAAGGUCUUCGGAUCGGAAAACUCUGUUAGUAGGGAAGAACAUAUGUGUAAGUAACUGUGCACAUCUUGACGGUACCUAAUCAGAAAGCCACGGCUAACUACGUG